rnacentral:rRNA from 1 species
UACGUAGGGCGCAAGCGUUGUCCGGAAUUAUUGGGCGUAAAGAGCUCGUAGGCGGUUUGUCGCGUCUGCCGUGAAAGUCCGGGGGCUCAACUCCGGAUCUGCGGUGGGUACGGGCAGACUAGAGUGAUGUAGGGGGAGACUGGAAUUCCUGGUGUAGCGGUGAAAUGCGCAGAUAUCAGGAGGAACACCGAUGGCGAAGGCAGGUCUCUGGGCAUUAACUGACGCUGAGGAGCGAAAGCAUGGGGAGCGAAUGGG